rnacentral:rRNA from 1 species
GACGUAGGGCGCGAGCGUUGUCCGGAUUUAUUGGGCGUAAAGAGCUCGUAGGCGGUCAGUCGCGUCUGCUGUGAAAACUCGGGGCUUAACUCCGGGCCUGCAGUGGGUACGGGCUGACUAGAGUGCGGUAGGGGAGACUGGAAUUCCUGGUGUAGCGGUGAAAUGCGCAGAUAUCGGGAGGAACACCAGUAGCGAAGGCGGCUCGCUGGGCCAUUCCUGACGCUGAGACGCGAAAGCUAGGGGAGCGAACAGG